UGCGUAGGCGGAAUGAUAAGUUAGUGGUGAAAGCCCCCGGCUCAACCGGGGAACUGCCAUUAAUACUGUCAUUCUUGAGUAUAGUUGAAGUGGGCGGAAUGUAUCAUGUAGCGGUGAAAUGCUUAGAUAUGAUACAGAACACCGAUAGCGUAGGCAGCUUGCGAAACUAUAACUGACGCUCAGGCACGAAAGCGUGGGGAGCAAACAGGAUUAGAUACCCUGGUAGUCC
rnacentral:rRNA from 1 species